GAAGAGAUGACUAUUAUUCUACUGAGAGGUGAAGAGAUGACUAUUAUUCUACUGAGAGGUGAAGAGAUGACUAUUACUCUACUGAGAGGUGAAGAGAUGACUAUUAUUCUACUGAGAGGUGAAGAGAUGACUAUUAUUCUACUGAGAGGUGAAGAGAUGACUAUUAUUCUACUGAGAGGUGAAGAGAUGACUAUUAUUCUACUGAGAGGUGAAGAGAUGACUAUUAUUCUACUGAGAGGUGAAGAGAUGACUAUUAUUCUACUGAGAGGUGAAGAGAUGACUAUUAUUCUACUGAGAGGUGAAGAGAUGACUAUUAUUCUACUGAGAGGUGAAGAGAUGACUAUUAUUCUACUGAGAGGUGAAGAGAUGACUAUUAUUCUACUGAGAGGUGAAGAGAUGACUAUUAUUCUACUGAGAGGUG